AUUGAACGCUGGCGGCAGGCCUAACACAUGCAAGUCGAGCGGAUGAAGGGAGCUUGCUCCUGGAUCCAGCGGCGGACGGGUGAGUAAUGCCUAGGAAUCUGCCUGGUAGUGGGGGAUAACGUCCGGAAACGGGCGCUAAUACCGCAUACGUCCUGAGGGAGAAAGUGGGGGAUCUUCGGACCUCACGCUAUCAGAUGAGCCUAGGUCGGAUUAGCUAGUUGGUGGGGUAAAGGCCUACCAAGGCGACGAUCCGUAACUGGUCUGAGAGGAUGAUCAGUCACACUGGAACUGAGACACGGUCCAGACCCCUACGGGAGGCAGCAGUGGGGAAUAUUGGACAAUGGGCGAAAGCCUGAUCCAGCCAUGCCGCGUGUGUGAAGAAGGUCUUCGGAUUGUAAAGCACUUUAAGUUGGGAGGAAGGGCAGUAAGUUAAUACCUUGCUGUCUUGACGUUACCAACAGAAUAAGCACCGGCUAACUUCGUG
rnacentral:rRNA from 1 species